GUUGCAGAAAACACAAUCUGGAGCUCUUGUUUCCAUUAUCAGUCUUGUCAUAAUGGCUACAUUAUUCCUGCAUGAGCUGACAUAUUAUCUCACUACUUACACGGUUCAUCAGAUGUCGGUGGACUUGAAACGUGGAGAAACGCUUCCAAUUCACAUAAAUAUGACAUUUCCUUCCUUACCUUGUGAUGUCUUGAGUGUGGAUGCAAUUGACUUGUCAGGCAAGCAUGAAGUUGAUCUUGAUACAAACAUUUGGAAACUUCGCUUGAAUAGUUAUGGUCAUAUCAUUGGCACUGAAUAUUUGUCGGACCUUGUAGAAAAGGAACAUGCUGCUCACAAACAUGAUGAUGAUAAAGAUCACCAUGAGGAUUCUGAUACGAAUCUUCAUGCUCAUGGCUUUGAUCAAGCUGCUGAAAGUAUGAUCAAGAAGGUUAAACAAGCAUUGGCAAAUGGAGAGGGAUGCAGGGUUUAUGGCGUUCUAGAUGUACAAAGGGUUGCUGGAAACUUUCACGUUUCAGUUCAUGGGCUAAACAUUCUUGCUGCUCAAAUGAUUUUUGAAGGAGCGACGCAUGUCAACGUGAGUCACAUUAUUCAUGAUUUAUCAUUUGGACCAAAAUACCCUGGACUUCACAACCCUCUAGAUGGUACAACAAGAAUUCUGCAUGACACAAGUGGAGUAUUCAAAUAUUACAUUAAGAUUGUUCCAACUGAAUAUAGAUACAUCUCUAAGGAAGUUUUGCCAACCAAUCAAUUCUCUGUUACUGAGUAUUUUUCCCCCAUCAGCGAAUUUGAUAAGAAAUGGCCAGCUGUUUACUUCUUGUAUGAUU
rnacentral:misc_RNA from 1 species